GGUGAGCAGAGAAGGUAGGUGAGGAACUGCACUGACUCAGCUGCAGAGGGCGGCGGCAGCCCGCCCCUGGGGCGGGAGAAGGGCAGGUGCCGGGAGACACCAGGAAGCUCUUCCCCGCCCGGGCACUUAACAGAGCUGGGAGCCUGGCUGCCAGGGGCGUGUUAUCGCGGGGGCAGCCUGGGAGCGCUGCUGCGCCGCGGCAGGAGAAACAGCCGAGGACACCCUGGAAGAGUAGGAGCACGUGGGCCUGCGAGAAUGGCGCCAACACAAGCCCUGCAAAGCCACAUUCCAAAGCCGGGCCAAGGACAGCCAUCGUUGCCCCGCAGGCCUCAAGGAUGACAGUCAAGCCAGCCAAGGCCGCCUCCCUAGCCAGGAACCUCGCAAAGCGCAGGCGCACCUACCUGGGUGGCGCGGCUGGGCGGAGUCAAGAACCGGAAGUCCCUUGCGCCGCAGUCCUUCCCGGGAAACCCGGGGACCGGAACUGCCCGGAGUUCCCGCCCCCAGACAGAACCCUGGGUUGCUGGGCAACCGAUGCGGCUGCCGCAGCUGGUCUCUGUGGUGCUGGGAGCGAGCCCAGUAUAGCUCCCACCUCCUGCGCUGGUAACCUCCCGUCCCGCCCGCCUCCCUUGUUGUCGCCUCUCCUCGCGUCGCGGAAUCCUUGCCCUUGGCACUACUUACAUCUCUGCGGGUCCCACAACACCUUAGCGCCCACCUGCUUCAAAGCCAAGCUCCACCGAAAGCGAGGCAGUCAGCCCCCGGACAUGGCCUCGGCGCUGACUGAUCGCACCUCUCGGGCCCCGAGCACCUACACCUACACCAGCCGGCCCCGAGCACUGCCCUGCCAGCGCAGCCGUUACCGGGACAGCCUGACGCAGCCAGGUGAAGAACCUAUGCAUUAUGGAAACAUAAUGUAUGACAGAAGGGUAAUUCGAGGUAACACUUAUGCACUCCAGACAGGGCCACUGCUCGGACAGCCUGAUUCUCUAGAGCUCCAGAGACGACGGGAGGCUAGGAAGAGGGCUCUUGCCAGAAAACAAGCCCAAGAGCAGCUCAGACCACAAACACCUGAAGCUGUGGAAGGCAGAAAGCAUGUUGAUGUGCAAACAGAAUUAUACCUUGAAGAAAUUGCUGAUCGCAUAAUAGAAGUUGAUAUGGAAUGCCAAACAGAUGCAUUUUUGGACAGACCACCAACACCACUCUUUAUUCCUGCCAAAACUGGCAAAGAUGUGGCCACCCAAAUACUAGAAGGAGAGCUCUUUGACUUUGAUCUUGAAGUUAAACCAGUGUUAGAAGUUUUGGUGGGGAAGACAAUUGAGCAGUCUCUUCUGGAAGUAAUGGAAGAAGAAGAGCUGGCUAACCUGCGGGCCAGUCAGCGUGAGUAUGAAGAACUACGGAAUAGUGAACGUGCUGAAGUUCAACGACUUGAAGAGCAAGAGAGGCGACACCAAGAAGAAAAAGAACGGCGUAAGAAACAGCAGUGGGAAAUAGUGCACAAGCACAACGAGACAUCACAAAAAAUCGCCGCCCGAGCAUUUGCACAGCGUUACCUGGCUGACCUUCUCCCGUCUGUUUUUGGCAGCCUCAGGGAUAGUGGCUACUUUUAUGAUCCCAUUGAAAGAGAUAUUGAGAUAGGAUUUCUUCCAUGGCUAAUGAAUGAAGUUGAAAAAACCAUGGAAUAUAGCAUGGUGGGAAGAACAGUGCUUGACAUGUUGAUCCGUGAGGUGGUUGAAAAGAGACUGUGUAUGUAUGAGCAUGGGGAAGACACACAUCAGUCUCCAGAACCCGAGGAUGAGCCUGGUGGUCCUGGAGCAAUGACAGAGUCACUGGAGGCCUCUGAAUUCCCAGAGCAGAGCAUGUCACAGACACGGGAGCUGCUUUUAGAUGGAGACUACCUACAAAGAACAACAUAUGACAGAAGGUCAUCCCAGGAAAGGAAGUUUAUGGAAGAGAGAGAGCUCUUAGGGCAGGAUGAAGAAACAGCAAUGAGGAAGUCCUUAGGGGAGGAAGAAUUGUCAUAGGAGGGAAGCUUCAAAGUCAUGAAACCAAUCAACAGCCAAGUCAGCAAGCAAUCAGAAAAUAAUACAUGAAACAUCAUCUACUCUUUCCGUAAUAAACAUCAAGAAAUAAAAUAGCAUUCAAUAAGAAAAGACUUAAGACAUCGCCUGUCAGACAGAUGCCAGUUUGCGAGUGGAAUGGCUAAAGAGAAAUCUGCUGCACAUUUGAAGAGAGAACCUAGAGUGCAUAUCCCUACCAUGAGGAGAAAACACAGCUUAGUCUUUAUACUUUGUCAUUUAUGUAUUCAACAGAUAUUUAUUUAGACUUAUUAUGCACCGGGACCUGUUUUGUGACUAAAAACACAACAAUGAACUAACAGGGAAGGUUGCUGCCCGACUUCCGCGUCUCUUGAAAAUGAAGCAAGUCCUGCCUCCCUGCAUGGGCAAACUUCCUCAGUCCCUAUAAGAGCACUGCAAGAUACUCCUAAAAGCACCUUCUAAACAAUACUUUGUGCAAUGAAUGCAAACUGUGAUUCAGCUGCGCUGGGGCGGAGUCCAGGCAUCACGGUUUUAAAGCUGCCCAAGUUAGCGGAAAGCGCAGCCAGAGUUGAAAACUUGAAAACCACCGAGCACUGUUUCUUCUCUGGGUUCUUUCAUACACAUUCGUUUCUUCUUCUCAUUUGACCCACAAUAUAGUCCCUCAUACUAAAGAAAAAUGGAAAUUGGACCCAGUGAAUUAGGUGAUGCUACCAGAUCCUAGCAAUCCCUGCCAAUCUCUAAACCCCCAAAGAACACAGACUAGGGACUAGCUCGUGUGAUUCUCAGGGGAACAUAGGUGUAGCUAACCCCAUCCAUGUUCUCUAGCCAUCUGUUGCACUAAGUGCUCAGUUAGAAGAAUGGAUGAGAGUCCAUGUAGAUUGGAAGGAAAAUGCCCAAAAAGUGUCUUCUUAUAAUUAAAAUAAAUAUAGUCAAAUUGUAUCUUAUUUACUUUGGUGAAUGUUUUUACAAAAAGUAUAAAAUUCUAUAAAAAGCAAUAGUCUAUCCCUUUUUAUUCAGAAAUUUAGGACAUACCUAGGUUUUAAGAAUAUAGCCAUGAGUUUACUUUCAGGCAG